GGUUCCUACAUGACGUCACAACAUACGGGCAUUUCCCGACCCGGCGCCAUUGCUGUGGGCAGAUGAAAUGAGUUUAACCGUGGGUAAACAACAUAAGAAGAAGAAGAAGAAGCUAGAACUAGUUAUUAUCGUGAUAAAAAGUGAAAAUGGUGGUCUCCUGCUGGGUCAAUGGAUGUUCAAAUCGUGCUGGAGGUUCAGUUAAAUUUGGAUUUUACAGUAUACCCGUCAUUAGACUUCAUGAAUGUGAGAAGACUAAGUUUUUGUCAGAACAACGACGAAGUUUAUGGCUGGCAAAGAUAAACAGGAAAGAAACUCCCUCAAAACACGCAAGAAUUUGCUCAGAGCACUUUGUGUCAGGCAAACCAUCAGACCUAUUUGACCAGACCAACCCAGAUUGGGCACCUUCCCUUAAAUUGGCCGGAUGUUUGACACCAAGGAAAUCGGAAAGCAACUUGAAACAAGCCACAGGCAGCACAAACAGAUAUAUACGGGCAGAAAAGAGGAAAGCAUCUAAAGCAAAACAUGCUGCUGCAAGUGCGCUUUUGGAGCUGCAUGCUUCCACCAUAAGAGAUAUUGAACUAGUAGAAGUCACCGAUGUUGCUGCAAGACCCAAUUGUUCUUUUCUCAAACUUGGGAAAAUGGAACCACCAACAUGUAAACCAAAAUGCCCAGAUCAUCUUAAACCAUUUACACCUGAUGUUCAAGGUGAAUUUCAACGUUUGUUGUCUGAAAACAUAUCGCUCAAACUACAACUGAAAACAUUCAGGAUGACACAGGAAGCACUAGCUGAUGGACAUGACUUAACGUAACAUAAUGCACUGGA
rnacentral:lncRNA from 1 species